AAAAAGUAAAUAAAGAACAAGAAUAAAGAUAAAAAAAACAGAAAAAUAAGGUUCCUGUGAUACCAAAGUGAAAGAAGAGAUAGAAAAAAUAGAAAAAAAGUGAAAAUAAAGAAUAAAACUAAAAAUCUACACAACGAAAGGGAGGAAACAGUGAGAGAAAUGUGAAUAAACAAGAAUAAAGACAAAACAGAAGAAAAAAAAUAAAGCGAAAGUGAAUCUGCGAAAUAAAGCAAAGCAGAAAAUAAAGUCAAUAUAAUCAAAUAAAAAAAAAGUAAAGGAGAGAGAGAGAGAAAAAAAAAGUUCAUAGCAGACGAGAACGUGAAGGUCAAAGUUUACAAAGUUCAAAGAGAGAAUGACCUUAGUGAACUUGAGGGCAAGGAAGUAUGAAAAGUACUGCAUAAAGUGCGGUGUUGAGAUGGCGGUCCACUCACACUCACACACACACACACACACACACACACACACACACACACACACCUUGAGCCAAUAAAUAGCUAAGCGCAAGGGGACAAAAGCCACAUCUACACACACCUGUACGGCCACUGACAGGUAUUCAAGUCACCCCCCCCCAUGCAAGUUAAUAAUGGCUUUCUAACACCUACAAGAUCAAAGUUGGCCCAUCAAAGCCGCAUCUUCACGCUACAGGUCCUGGACUCUAUGCGGGGGAACACUGGCAGAAGAACAACAGACACUAACAGAAGGAGGACAAAGUGACAAAAUAGUGACAUACAACUUCACACACCUUCCUUGUUUCCCUCCCUCUUCUCGCCUCAAUCCAGAACUGAAAUGGCCUUCCAGACACCAACCAACCGUGAACACCAAAUUUCCAGCUUCCAUAUGUGGACGUGGAAUGAAUGACUCGCAGGGCCCAGCAGCCUCCCUCCCACCACCACAGGUCUUCAGAAUCAGCAAACAUAUUCACAAGAACAAUCAACCAAGAUUUACCACAAACAAAUAAAAAAUUGCUGCAAAAGAGUUUUCCAUUCCCGUCUGGACGACAGCACCCAGCGGGCAGCCUCCACCUUGCCAGCCUGGGCCUCAAGGCUCAGAGUGACAUGCUUUGCACAUCCCAGGAAUCUCAUGUGAUUGAAAAAUAUGUAUUUUACAAAUUUAUUAUUCAACAGUAUAAUGUCAAGCAACAGUUUCGUACAGAGGAGGCAGAGCAGAUAGAAUUUUGAUGCAGUGUUGUGUUUUCCUUCCAAUUAUUACUCCUGUGUAUAUGUUACAUAACCUAGUACACAUAAUCACUGUUGGGUGUUCCUGAACACAAGACACAGUAUGAACAUCUGCCCAGUCUGCCCCUGCAGGCGUGGGCGACACUCGUACACACGUACAUAGACUCACUGCAGCCACUAGUCGACUCUCACUCCGCCGAAACAAAAACCUUCACAUGUAAACAAUUUCAAUUCAAAGUAAAGAGAUACAACUUAC